CCCUUAGAUGUUCUGGGCCGCACGCGCGCUACACUGAUGCAUUCAACGAGUCUAAAACCUGCUCUGAUAGGGGUGGGUAAUCUUUUGAAUGUGCAUCGUGAUUGGGAUAGAUGAUUGCAAUUUUUCAUCUUCAACGAGGAAUGCCUAGUAAACGCAAGUCAUCAGCUUGCAUUGAUUACGUCCCUGCCCUUUGUACACACCGCCCGUCGCUCCUACCGAUUGAAUGAUCCGAUGAAUAUCAUGGAUUGAGGAUGCAAGUAGGUUAGCCUAUCUCCAUCUUCGAGAAGUGAAGUAAAUCUUAUCAUUUAGAGGAAGGAGAAGUCGUAACA
rnacentral:rRNA from 1 species